GUUGUAGCUCAGUGGUAGAGCGCUUGCCUCAUAUGUGUGAGGCACUGGGUUCAAUUCCUAGCACCACA
rnacentral:tRNA from 1 species